rnacentral:rRNA from 1 species
GAACGGGUGAGUAACACGUGGGGAAUCUGCCCUGAACUCUGGGACAAGCCUUGGAAACGAGGUCUAAUACCGGAUACGACCUUCUCCUGCAUGGGGGUUGGUGGAAAGCUCCGGCGGUUCAGGAUGAUCCCGCGGCCUAUCAGCUUGUUGGUGGGGUAAUGGCCUACCAAGGCGACGACGGGUAGCCGGCCUGAGAGGGCGACCGGCCACACUGGGACUGAGACACGGCCCAGACUCCUACGGGAGGCAGCAGUGGGGAAUAUUGCACAAUGGGCGGAAGCCUGAUGCAGCGACGCCGCGUGAGGGAUGACGGCCUUCGGGUUGUAAACCUCUUUCAGCAGGGAAGAAGCGCAAGUGACGGUACCUGCAGAAGAAGCACCGGCUAACUACGUGCCAGCAGCCGCGGUAAUACGUAGGGUGCGAGCGUUGUCCGGAAUUAUUGGGCGUAAAGAGCUCGUAGGCGGCCUGUCGCGUCGGAUGUGAAAGCCCGGGGCUUAACCCCGGGUCUGCAUACGAUACGGGCAGGCUGGAGUGUGGUAGGGGAGAUCGGAAUUCCUGGUGUAGCGGUGAAAUGCGCAGAUAUCAGGAGGAACACCGGUGGCGAAGGCGGAUCUCUGGGCCAUUACUGACGCUGAGGAGCGAAA